CCUACGGGAGGCAGCAGUGGGGAAUAUUGCGCAAUGGGCGAAAGCCUGACGCAGCGACGCCGCGUGAGGGAUGAAGGUCUUCGGAUCGUAAACCUCUGUCAGCAGGGAAGAACGGUCACUGUGCUAAUCAGCAGUGAAUUGACGGUACCUGCAAAGGAAGCACCGGCUAACUCCGUGCCAGCAGCCGCGGUAAUACGGAGGGUGCGAGCGUUAAUCGGAAUUACUGGGCGUAAAGCGCUCGUAGGCGGUAUGUCAAGUCAAGGGUGAAAUCCCCGCGCUCAACGUGGGAACUGCCUUUGAAACGGGCAAACUGGAGUGUGUGAGAGGAUAGUGGAAUUCCAGGUGUAGGAGUGAAAGCCGUAGAGAUCUGGAGGAACAUCAGUGGCGAAGGCGACUAUCUGGCACAUAACUGACGCUGAGGAGCGAAAGCGUGGGUAGCAAACAGGAUUAGAUACCCGAGUAGUC
rnacentral:rRNA from 1 species